rnacentral:rRNA from 1 species
GACGAACGCUGGCGGCGUGCUUAACACAUGCAAGUCGAACGGCAAGGCCCUGCUUGCAGGGUAUUCGAGUGGCGAACGGGUGAGUAACACGUGGGUGAUCUGCCCUGUACUUUGGGAUAAGCCUUGGAAACUGGGUCUAUUACCGGAUAGGAGCCAUUUUUUGUGUGAUGGUUGGAAAGUUUUUUCGGGGUAGAAUGAGCUCGCGGCCUAUCGGCUUGUUGGUGGGGUAAUGGCCUACCAAUCCGACGACGGGUAGCCGGACUGAGAGGGUGGGCGGCGACAUUGAGACUGAGAUGCGGCCCAGGCUCCUACGAGAGGCAGAAGUGGGGAAUAUUGCACAAGGGGCGCAGGCCGGAUGCAGCGACGCCGCGGGUGGGAUGACGGCCUUGGGGUUAUAGACUCCUAGCGCUAGGAACGAAGCUUUUUGUGACGGUACCUAGAGAAGAAGCACCGGCUAACUACGUG